rnacentral:rRNA from 1 species
UACGAAGGGUGCAAACGUUGCUCGGAAUUAUUGGGCGUAAAGCGCACGUAGGCGGCUUUGCAAGUCCCAUGUGAAAGCCCACGGCUCAACCGUGGAAGUGCAUGGGAAACUGCAGAGCUUGAGUACUUAAGAGGAUCGCGGAAUUCCCGGUGUAGAGGUGAAAUUCGUAGAUAUCGAGAGGAACACCAGUGGCGAAGGCGAGUCCCUGGACAGAUCCUGACGCUGAGGCACGAAAGCUAGGGGAGCAAACAGG